rnacentral:rRNA from 1 species
AUUGAACGCUGGCGGAAUGCUUUACACAUGCAAGUCGAACGGCAGCACGGGAGCUUGCUCCUGGUGGCGAGUGGCGAACGGGUGAGUAAUGCGUCGGAACGUACCGAGUAAUGGGGGAUAACGCAGCGAAAGCUGUGCUAAUACCGCAUACGCCCUGAGGGGGAAAGUGGGGGAUCGCAAGACCUCACGUUAUUCGAGCGGCCGACGUCUGAUUAGCUAGUUGGUGGGGUAAUGGCCUACCAAGGCGACGAUCAGUAGCGGGUCUGAGAGGAUGAUCCGCCACACUGGAACUGAGACACGGUCCAGACCCCUACGGGAGGCAGCAGUGGGGAAUUUUGGACAAUGGGGGCAACCCUGAUCCAGCCAUUCCGCGUGAGUGAAGAAGGCCUUCGGGCUGUAAAGCUCUUUCAGCUGGAACGAAACGGUACGCUCUAACAUAGCGUGCUAAUGACGGUACCGGCAGAAGAAACACCGGCUAACUACGUGCCAGCAGCCGCGGUAAUACGUAGGGUGCGAGCGUUAAUCGGAAUUACUGGGCGUAAAGCGUGCGCAGGCGGAUUGUUAAGCAAGAUGUGAAAUCCCCGGGCUUAACCUGGGAAUGGCAUUUUGAACUGGCAGUCUAGAGUGCGUCAGAGGGGGGUGGAAUUCCACGUGUAGCAGUGAAAUGCGUAGAGAUGUGGAGGAACACCAAUGGCGAAGGCAGCCCCCUGGGAUGACACUGACGCUCAUGUACGAAANCGUGGGUAGCAAACAGGAUUAGAUACCCUGGUAGUCCACGCCCUAAACGAUGUCAACUGGUUGUUGGGGGAGUGAAAUCCCUUAGUAACGAAGCUAACGCGUGAAGUUGACCGCCUGGGGGGUACGGUCGCAAGAUUAAAACUCAAAGGAAUUGACGGGGGCCCGCACAAGCGGAGGAACAUGUGGUUUAAUUCGAUGAUACGCGAGGAACCUUACCUGGGCUUAAAUGUAGAGUGCAUGAAGUGGAAACAUUUCUUUCCUUCGGGACUCUUUGCAAGGUGCUGCAUGGUUGUCGUCAGCUCGUGCCGUGAGGUGUCGGGUUAAGUCCCAUAACGAGCGCAACCCUUAUCGUUAGUUGCCAGCGGGUAAUGCCGGGAACUCUAACGAAACUGCCGGUGUAAACCGUGAGGAAGGUGGGGAUGACGUCAAAUCAGCACGGCCCUUAUGUCCAGGGCUACACACGUGUUACAAUGGCCGGUACAGAGGGCAGCUACCUGGAGACAGGAUGCGAAUCUCCAAAGCCGGUCUCAGUUCGGAUCGGAGUCUGCAACUCGACUCCGUGAAGCUAGAUUCGCUAGUAAUCGCGCAUCAGCCAUGGCGCGGUGAAUACGUUCCCGGGCCU